CCUACGGGAGGCAGCAGUGGGGAAUAUUGCACAAUGGGGGAAACCCUGAUGCAGCGACGCCGCGUGAGUGAAGAAGUAAUUCGUUAUGUAAAGCUCUAUCAGCAGGGAAGAAAAUGACGGUACCUGAGUAAGAAGCCCCGGCUAACUACGUGCCAGCAGCCGCGGUAAUACGUAGGGGGCAAGCGUUAUCCGGAUUUACUGGGUGGAAAGGGAGCGUAGACGGCAGUGCAAGUCUGGAGUGAAAGGCGGGGGCUCAACCCCCGGACUGCUCUGGAAACUGUACGGCUGGAGUGCAGGAGAGGUAAGUGGAAUUCCUAGUGUAGCGGUGAAAUGCGUAGAUAGUAGGAGGAACACCAGUGGCGAAGGCGGCUUACUGGACUGUAACUGACGUCGAGGCUCGAAAGCGUGGGGAGCAAACAGGAUUAGAUACCCGUGUAGUC
rnacentral:rRNA from 1 species